rnacentral:rRNA from 1 species
GAACGCAUACUUUAGAGUAUGAGUGGCAGACGGGUGAGUAACGCGUGAGACAUCUACCUUACAGCCCGGUAUAAAUAUCUAUAUAGAGGCGAAAAUCUUUAUAUAUGAGUGAAUCCCGGAUAUUUUGAAUAAAAAAAAAAGGCAAAGAACCGUUGUAAGAAGAGCUCGCGUAGGAUUAGGUAGUUGGUAAGGUAAAAGCUUAUCCAAGCCGAUGAUCCUUAGCUGUUCUGAGAGGAUGAUCAGCCACACUGGGACUGAGACACGGCCCAGACGCUUUCGAGCGGCAGCAGUGAGGAAUUUUGGACAAUGGGCGAAAGCCUGAUCCAGCUAUAUCGCAUGAAUGAAGAAGGCUCAAUUGGUUGUAAAAUUCAUAGUUUCAUUGUAGAUUAUGACAUUGAUGAAAUGAAUAGUCCCGGCCAACUCCGUGCCAGCAGCCGCGGUAAUACGGGGGGGGCGAGCGUUAUUCGAAAUGAUUGGGCGUAAAGAGCACGUAGACGGUUUUUUAAGUGGACAUUAUAUCUUUUUUGUUCUCUAAGGAUAAAAAAGAAAGGAUUAUGGAAAUAUUUCUGUACUCGGGAAAAAGACCAAGGCUCAACCAUGGUGUUUCCCGCCAAACUAAAAAACUAGAGUAAGUUAGAGGAAAGUGGAAUUCCUGGAGGAAAGGUUAAAUUUUAUGAUAUCAGGAGGAACGCCCAAAGCGUAGGCAACUUUCUACUGCUUAACUGACGUUGAGGUGCGAAAGCAUGGGGAUCAAAGGGGAUUAGAUACCCCUGUAGUCCAUGCCGUCAACUAUGAGAAUUCACUCUUAGAACACUGUGUAUUCCUUUGAACGAUGGGUUUUUUAUCAUCAAUCAAAGGAAUACGCAGUUCGUUUUAGGGGUUCUAGCUAACGCGUUAAAUUCUCCGCCUGAGGAGUACGACCGCAAGGUUA